rfam:Candidatus Peregrinibacteria bacterium CG2_30_44_17 cg2_3.0_scaffold_108_c, whole genome shotgun sequence.
GGGGAUGUAUAUGGUUUUGACAGAGGAUUCAUUUGGCUAAGUAUUUUAAGUUCGGCGGUCGCGCUGUCCUGUCGUAUAAAAGUCCAGCGCAAACAUAACUGCAGUUUCUGAAAAGAAUGCAGCAGCUAAUUACUUGCUAAGAGCUUUUGCUCCUGCACGUUUGGCUGCAUAAGUGUUCCCGGUCAUUGAACCGGAACCCGUUUGUCGUUGUGAGGCCUCAUAGCUUCGAACAAACGUCAUUUAUGAGGAUCGAUUAGUUGGCUUGGCGUUCGGCUCACUUCUCUAAACUUUUGGACCAAACUUGUGGCGGCUUUUGUAGGCUCUUUAUCGUCGCGAGUUAAACAGAGCCUAAUAUGACUUUAAAAGAUACUUUCCAAACCUUUGGACGCGGGUUCGACUCCCGCCAUCUCCACCA